rnacentral:tRNA from 1 species
AGAGAGGUGGCCGAGUGGUUUAAGGCGCACGCUUGGAAAGCGUGUAUUCUAGAAAUGGAAUCGAGGGUUCGAAUCCCUUCCUCUCUGCAA